UUGGGCUAAUAAAUUAGCGCCUUGGACAACUUGUUUGGUAUAUUUGACCCUUUCGGUUAAUAUUGUUGAUUUUCUGCUGUUAUAUAAAAACGCUCUGAAAUAUUGGAUAUUUAUUCAAUGGGGCGCGGUAAAGAGAAACAGCAAACGAAUUGUGUAGCCGGUCGAACGACAACUAAAAACAAAAAUUGCUUUGAAUUUUCGAAUUUUGCAUUAAUUUUAUUUUUCUCGCGACCGAGAGAGAGAAAAAACCGAGAGAAACAUGCACUUCAACUUGGACAAACACACGACCAACGGCUCCCGAUACAUUGGCCAAUUUAUUUCUCUCUGAUAAAUUGUUAAGCGCUGUCUGGAACUGGUAGCGCGUGCCAAAUAGCAAAAACUAAUAUGAGGGAACACGGCGUUUGGAGAAUUCCCCGAACCGAGCGGAGGAGCGACGAUGGAACUCCUCUCGGAUACGCACAGCAGCCGCACACGAGCACUCGAAAGAUACAAAGUUGAAAUUGCAGACAAAUUUAGUGUUUGCCUAGCAGAGGAGCGCCAUGAUAGUCGAGGAAUUUGUGUACAAAAUGGCAAAACGUGAUUCUGCUGAGUAUUUAUAAUUAAAAUUUU